UACGGAGGGGGCGAGCGUUAUUCGGAAUUAUUGGGCGUAAAGGGCGCGUAGGCGGCCCGGUAAGUCAAAGGUGAAAUCCCUCGGCUCAACUGAGGAACUGCCUUUGAAACUGUCGGGCUUGAGGCCGGGAGGGGGUAGCGGAAUUCCCAGUGUAGCGGUGAAAUGCGUAGAUAUCAGGAGGAACACCGGUGGCGAAGGCGGCUUGCUGGGCCUUACCUGACGCUGAGGAGCGAAAGCGUGGGGAGCGAACAGG
rnacentral:rRNA from 1 species